GGAUUGUAUGCAGCAUACAUAUAGCCCUCCCCUGCCCGGCAGCUAUGGCAUGUGGCUGCCUAGCACAUCGACGCCCCAAGGUACAUUGUCUCUCCAUCUCGCAUACGUGUUGUUCCCUGUUGUUGUACUAUGUUCAGUUCUGUAUUGUUUCUUAGUUAUUUUCUUGUCUGAAGUUCUGAAAUACUUGGAGGCGCAAAAAAGUUGUGAUAUGUUGGUUCAUUUUCAAAGGUCCUUCAAAAAAUGGAAAGCAUGAGUUUUCUUCUCCAAAAUGCAUCAACACAGUGGAGUGCUAAUUCUUCUUGGGUGCUUCUAUUGAUCCUUGUGUUUCGGCAACCACCAUGACGAACCAUCUCGUCCUAUUUUGCAAAAGCAAAUCACACGAAAGUUUUUAAGAGGAAUUCAGUUUAGAGAUAAUGGGGAAACGAGGUUCAAAGAGAUUUCUUGGUACAUCCGGAGAGCUAUUCCGUUGCACUGUAGCCAAAACCACUCGAAAGGCCAAACUACUGACAUGUGGUUGUGCUUUUAUUUUACACAAACGAGGUUGCUAGCGCUAGUUGAUCUUGGGAGUUUAGUUGCCGUCCACCUCCUUGGGCACCUCUCUGCUUCUUGAGAGUAAGUUGCGGCUUUCCAUGGCCAUAUACAUGCAGUUUUUAGUUUUGCCCAACCACUUAUAUAUGCGUGCAUGUUUCCAUUUUUGCCAAAUUGUAUACCGAGCUUUUGUUUUGAAAAACAAAUGUGCAUGUAAAUGUGAGAAAAAAGUUUAUACAAAGAAGUUCAUGUAUUACUAACCCAGAAGGUUCGUGUAUUACUAAGUGUGUGCACAUAUAAUUGCUCCCUCCAUAUAUGUGUGUAUGUCUGUUUGUGUGUUCUGCCAAUUCCACUUUAGCUUUGAUGAAGGUUCACCAGCCAGGUAAAAACUAGUUCAGCGCAUACGUCCUUCACAUUGUUAUAUAUCCCCAUUAUUCAGUUUAAAAUUGUGUUGUCUAGUUCUUGUUCUAUACUAUUUUUCUGAAGUUCAAUAGUAUUAGUGCAGGCAAAAAACUGGGGUUUUGAUAUGUUGGUUUCAGUUUCAGAAAUCCUUCAGGAAAAAAUGCAAAAGAAAAAUGGAGCAGGAGUCGCAAGCCUCAAGCUCUCUCUCCACUUGGUGGCUUCUUGUUCUCAAAGCACAAGCUGCUGCUGCUACUAUUAUUUAACUACUUCUACUCACUAUAAUGGGCUGAGGGGCGUUGCCCAACUGCGUGGAUGCUUGCCUGCUCACCGAGCGUCGCGGCAGU
rnacentral:lncRNA from 1 species